rnacentral:rRNA from 1 species
CAGUAGCCGCGGUAAUACGUAGGGUGCAAGCGUUAUCCGGAAUUAUUGGGCGUAAAGAGCUCGUAGGCGGUUUGUCGCGUCUGCUGUGAAAACUGGAGGCUCAACCUCCAGCCUGCAGUGGGUACGGGCAAACUAGAGUGCGGUAGGGGAGAUUGGAAUUCCUGGUGUAGCGGUGGAAUGCGCAGAUAUCAGGAGGAACACCGAUGGCGAAGGCAGAUCUCUGGGCCGUAACUGACGCUGAGGAGCGAAAGCAUGGGGAGCGAACAGGAUUAGAUACCCCAGUAGUCCCUGUCUCUUAUAC